GACGAACCGUGCGAACGUUGUUCGGAAUCACUGGGCUUAAAGGGCGCGUAGGUGGGCUGUCAAGUCUGGGGUGAAAUGCCGCGGCUCAACCGUGGAACUGCCUCAGAUACUGACGGCCUCGAGGAAGGUAGGGGCAUGCGGAACUGUAGGUGGAGCGGUGAAAUGCGUUGAUAUCUACAGGAACUCCGGUGGCGAAAGCGGCGUGCUGGACCUUUUCUGACGCUGAGGCGCGAAAGCUAGGGGAGCAAACGGG
rnacentral:rRNA from 1 species